AGUGAACGCUGGCGGUAGGCCUAACACAUGCAAGUCGAACGGCAGCACAGUAAGAGCUUGCUCUUACGGGUGGCGAGUGGCGGACGGGUGAGGAAUACAUCGGACUCUACUUUUUCGUGGGGGAUAACGUAGGGAAACUUACGCUAAUACCGCAUACGACCUACGGGUGAAAGCAGGGGAUCUUCGGACCUUGCGCGAUUGCAUGAGCCGAUGUCGGAUUAGCUAGUUGGCGGGGUAAAGGCCCACCAAGGCGACGAUCCGUAGCUGGUCUGAGAGGAUGAUCAGCCACACUGGAACUGAGACACGGUCCAGACUCCUACGGGAGGCAGCAGUGGGGAAUAGUGGACAAUGGGCGCAAGCCUGAUCCAGCCAUACCGCGUGGGUGAAGAAGGCCUUCGGGUUGGAAAGCCCUUUUGUUGGGAAAGAAAAUCAGCAGGUUAAUACCCCGCUGUUCUGACGGUACCCAAAGAAUAAGCACCGGCUAACUUCGUG
rnacentral:rRNA from 1 species